rnacentral:rRNA from 1 species
AGUGAACGCUGGCGGUAGGCCUAACACAUGCAAGUCGAACGGCAGCACAGGAGAGCUUGCUCUCUGGGUGGCGAGUGGCGGACGGGUGAGGAAUACAUCGGAAUCUACUCUGUCGUGGGGGAUAACGUAGGGAGACUUACGCUAAUACCGCAUACGACCUACGGGGGAAAGCAGGGGACCUUCGGGCCUUGCGCGAUUGAAUGAGCCGAGGUCGGAUUAGCUAGUUGGCGGGGUAAAGGCCCACCAAGGCGACGAUCCGUAGCUGGUCUGAGAGGAUGAUCAGCCACACUGGAACUGAGACACGGUCCAGACUCCUACGGGAGGCAGCAGUGGGGAAUAUUGGACAAUGGGCGCAAGCCUGAUCCAGCCAUACCGCGUGGGUGAAGAAGGCCUUCGGGUUGUAAAGCCCUUUUGUUGGGAAAGAAAUCCAGCUGGCUAAUACCCGGUUGGGAUGACGGUACCCAAAGAAUAAGCACCGGCUAACUUCGUGCCAGCCGCCGCCGUAA